CUGACAGGUUUUUUCUGAUAUCUAUUUGUGUUUUGGGUAUUUAUUUCAGUUGUUUUACUCAUUUGUGAACUCUGAACACAAAAAAAAGUAGAUAAAAACAUAAAAAGAGUGCAAAAUGUGCUGUUUUAAUAGUCUAAGUCUAACGGUCAGUAUACGCAGCAGGUGAAAUGUGAAGUUCUAUGCACUUAAAAGUUGUAUUCCUAAACAGAUUGCACUGAAUCUAUAUCAAAAACACUUAUUACUGGUUGUUUAACCAUUUCUGUUUCACAGACUACCUUUAUUUUCUUCUGUUGGAUAGCUAGUGGUUAAAAUAUUGGCCUUUUGAGGCUGAAAUUUCAUUCAGGUUUUAAACAGUAAAGUUAAUAAACUUUGCAUCAGACCAUACUGUCUACAUAUAUAGUUGAAAGUGACAGUCUUGUUACAUCCAGGCUCCAUGUUUUAUCAUAUCUAAGCACAGAUUUAAGCAAAAAGAAGCAUAUCUCCAUCUCCCAUAUCAUUUAUAUGCUUUUUAAUAUGCAAAUGUGGGGAACGGCCUAAAUUGACAACC
rnacentral:lncRNA from 1 species